rnacentral:rRNA from 1 species
GUUUAUUUUUUAUUUUUAUUCUAUUUUUGUAAAAUGGUUUAGUUUUUUGUUUGUUUGAGAAGGUUUUUAAAAUUUGUUUUUUGAACUGGACUAGUACCCAGGUAAUCAAAAUUUAUUAAUUCGGGAGUAAAGUUUUAUUUAAACCGAAAAAAUAUUGACUGACUUUGGAUUUUUCUUUGGAACAUGUGUUUUGGAUAGUCCUCCUUAUUAGUUAAUUUUUUUGGCUCAUGUAUGAUUGUUUAGUUUUUAUUUUUUUUGUGAUGCUGUUCUCGGUUUUGUUAUAAAACAGAUAUAUAUUUGGCUUAUAUAUUAAUUUUACAUGUGUUACUAUUGUCAAUUUUCUUUGGAUUUUUUUUUUAUUGUUUUUUGAAAUUGGAAAAGAAAGUAAUUAAUUUUUUAUGUUUUAAUGAAUUU